rnacentral:lncRNA from 1 species
UUUUUUUUUUUAGCACAGUGAAUACCAUAAAAAGUUAUAUGUGAAGAUAUGUCCCUGGCUGUUCAUUACAGCACUGGAAAGGAGCAAGAAGUUGUGUUUGAAACCUUCAUUUGCAUUGUAGUUUACUAACUGCACCUUAUAAAAAGACCCACAAGACACUGGAUAGGCAGGAUUUGACCUCCUCUUUUUCAUAGCAUAGGGAUUAAGGAAAACAAUAUGAUGAGGUAGAUUGACUGGAAUGAGUUAAUAGGUGGCUGAGAACUGAAAUUAGAAAGGAAACUAGGAUAACAUGGGCUCACUGACUGAGCUGGCUGCAUUUGCAUGGAAGAAGGCAAGUCUGCAAGCUACAUACUUUAACUGAUCAACCCCUAAUGUGUACAUGGCAAGACAUAGCCCACUGCUGCUCAGUCCUAGAGGCUGUCUCACCACAUUACAUUUUUUGUGCUUUCUGUGAAGGAUCUCCCACUCCAACUCUUUCAACUCAUGGUUGAAUCUCUUUGCAUAGAGGGUAAAAGUAUAGUAUAGUGAUCAGAGAAAGAGGAAAUAUCCCAUGCCUACAUGAGAUAAGGAUUCUUUCUACUCUUAUAAGAGGAACUUAAGCUUGUCACUGAGAAUUUAUCUGAAAUCCAAUUCACCCAACUUUAAAGCACUAGCAUAAAUUGUUUAAAUUGGUUUCCACAGAGCCCACUGUAUCCUGCUACAGUGUGCUUUCUGACAGCAGGUUUAAUUUGCUUGGAAAUCCAAAGUACAAUCCACAUCCUUUCUGCAAUGCAAAACAUUGUGCAUAUUUAAUGAGCUAACAUUUUAUACCUUUACUGUGUAAACAGCCUUUUUAAUGUUGAUUGAAAUAUGAUUUAAAUGUAAAUCUUGCCCUCCACACACUGUUUAAAUCUUUUAAAAUAGCAUUAAAUACGCUUUACAGCUAUUCAGCCUAGUACAUUCCCUGGUAGAGGUGAGAUAAUUAAACAUAUUUUUCCUGUAAAAUUUCAUAAGACUACCUCAUUUUCCAAGCAGAUGCAACAGUACAUAUUAAAGUACAUCAGAAAUUAUUCCCUUCGUUGCAACCU